rnacentral:rRNA from 1 species
CGAAUGCUGACAUAAGUAACGAUAAAGCGGGUGAAAAGCCCGCUCGCCGGAAGACCAAGGGUUCCUGUCCAACGUUAAUCGGGGCAGGGUGAGUCGACCCCUAAGGCGAGGCCGAAAGGCGUAGUCGAUGGGAAACAGGUUAAUAUUCCUGUACUUGGUGUUACUGCGAAGGGGGGACGGAGAAGGCUAUGUUGGCCGGGCGACGGUUGUCCCGGUUUAAGCGUGUAGGCUGGUUUUCCAGGCAAAUCCGGAAAAUCAAGGCUGAGGCGUGAUGACGAGGCACUACGGUGCUGAAGCAACAAAUGCCCUGCUUCCAGGAAAAGCCUCUAAGCAUCAGGUAACAUCAAAUCGUACCCCAAACCGACACAGGUGGUCAGGUAGAGAAUACCAAGGCGCUUGAGAGAACUCGGGUGAAGGAACUAGGCAAAAUGGUGCCGUAACUUCGGGAGAAGGCACGCUGAUAUGUAGGUGAAGUCCCUCGCGGAUGGAGCUGAAAUCAGUCGAAGAUACCAGCUGGCUGCAACUGUUUAUUAAAAACACAGCACUGUGCAAACACGAAAGUGGACGUAUACGGUGUGACGCCUGCCCGGUGCCGGAAGGUUAAUUGAUGGGGUUAGCGC